AUCAUCUAUUUGUAAUAUAACUAGAUGGGAUUUGGUGGAUGGUUUUCAUAUUUGAGCAUGGCUUCUUUUUUUUUAUAUAUAUAUAAAUUGGAUAAUGUUUGUGUUGAAAUCUUUACAACAUGUUAACUUUUGGGCGUUCAUCAGUAAUUGAGAUUUUUGCUUUAUCGUUAUGGUGUUUCUGUAGUGAUUUUGCCACCGCCUGUUAUUGAGUAGCAACAGUAGUGCACAGGAUUCUUGUUUCAAUUUUAGUAGGAUUAUAUUUUGCUUUGUGGAGUUUCCUCUGUUCCUCCCAGACCUAUGCUGCCAUUAUGAAUUGAAUUCUUUUUUCACCACAUAACUCUCGUUUGGACUUAAACUUGACAUAUUUUGAUCAGGAUUUAAUGUGGAGACUGUGG
rnacentral:misc_RNA from 1 species